AAUCAAUGAGAAUAAAUAAUCAAUAAAGGAGAAGAAUGAAGAGGGCUAGGCAAUGGAGGUUAAAUGACUUGCCCAGGAUGGCACAACCUCAUCUCCAGUUAAAUGAGUUUCUAAGAUGGAAUGGAGUAGGUGAUGACAUAUUUAGAUCCUAAAGUUUGGAAGAGCCACCAGAGGUCCAUCACCUGUAGUCUCUGGCAGAGAUUUCCAAUGAGGAAUCAUCCUAAGGAGCAAUCUGCUUAAUCUGCUUGAUUAAUAGUGGACCAGCCAGGAAGGUGAAGUGCCAGAACCUGCAAGAAAACAGGGGACUCUUUCAUGGAUGUCUGCCAUCUGAUGCCAUGGAUGUCCCAAAGGCACAGGAAUCACUUCCCGAGAAAUCGUUGAUAUCCAUGGUCUAUUAAGAAAUCGGAGCUAGGAGAACAGCUGCCUUCUUUCAAGUUGACUAAAUUGAUUGGAGAGUAGCUGACCUAAGACCCUGUUUUUCUUUUUUCAUGGCCCAGACCAAGUACCAUUCCUCUGGAAUGCUGAAAGAAUGGAAGACGAUUUUACCCUUCCCUACAAGCAUAACUGCAACUGGUUGCAGAAACCAGUGGCUGAAUAGGACAUGGGCUUGUCCACAGAAUCUGAAAGGAAAAUACCUAAAAGUGGACUUUGCCCAAGAGAUUAUAGCAAGUGAGGUCCUGAGAGUUCCCGAAGAUCCACACAACACAAGAAGCAAAUGUGUUUGCCUACAUGGACUCAAAAGGGAAUUCUUAGAUAAUAUUCCUGGAUUCUUAACCUCUUGGGCAAUAGCAGAGGAGUAGUUUAGUUUCCAAGACAGCAUGAUUCCAGCUUCUGACUAACCUAAAGCAUCACAAGUCCCCUAACCUAUAUCCUGAAUCUGUCACCUGUGGAUUUAUCUGGAACAUUUGAGGGAGUUAUUUGUAUUUUUUGCUUGGGCCAUCUCUGGUGGUAAUAAACUUCCUAAGUUUACUACCCA
rnacentral:lncRNA from 1 species